rfam:Flavobacterium fluvii strain DSM 19978 genome assembly, contig: Ga0131141_108
CAACCUCUGGCGAAAUCCGUGAAUGUUG